UACCAGCUCUCCGAGUGGUAGGGAUGAUCAUUGGGCUUAAAGCGUCCGUAGCCGGCUUAGCAAGUCUCCUGUUAAAUUCAGCGACCUAAUCGUUGAGCCGCGGGAGAUACUACUAGGCUAGGAGGCGGGAGAGGUCAACGGUACUUCCGGGGUAGGGGUGAAAUCCUAUAAUCCCGGGAGGACCACCAGUGGCGAAGGCUGUUGACUAGAACGCGCUCGACGGUGAGGGACGAAAGCUGGGGGAGCGAACCGGAUUAGAUACCCGGGUAGUCCCAGCUGUAAACGAUGCGAGCUAGGUGUUGGGGUGGCUACGUGCCACUUCAGUGCCGCAGGGAAGCCAUUAAGCUCGCCGCCUGGGGAGUACGGCCGCAAGGCUGAAACUUAAAGGAAUUGGCGGGGAGCACCACAAGGCUUGAAGCUUGCGGUUC
rnacentral:rRNA from 1 species